GGUUGUGGCUCAGUGGUAGAGCUCUUGCCUCGCACAUGUGAGGUCCUGGGUUUGAUCCUCAACACCA
rnacentral:tRNA from 1 species